rnacentral:rRNA from 1 species
UACGUAGGGUGCAAGCGUUACUCGGAAUUACUGGGCGUAAAGCGUGCGCAGGCGGCUAUGCAAGACAGAUGUGAAAUCCCCGGGCUCAACCUGGGAACUGCAUUUGUGACUGCAUGGCUAGAGUACGGUAGAGGGGGAUGGAAUUCCGCGUGUAGCAGUGAAAUGCGUAGAUAUGCGGAGGAACACCGAUGGCGAAGGCGAUCCCCUGGACCUGUACUGACGCUCAUGCACGAAAGCGUGGGGAGCAAACAGG